UGGCCCACGCAAGUGGGAUCAGGUAAGGGUGAAAGGGUGCGGUAAGAGCGCACCGCGCGGCUGGUAACAGUCCGUGGCACGGUAAACUCCACCCGGAGCAAGGCCAAAUAGGGGUUCAUAAGGUACGGCCCGUACUGAACCCGGGUAGGCUGCUUGAGCCAGUGAGCGAUUGCUGGCCUAGAUGAAUGACUGUCCACGACAGAACCCGGCUUAUCGGUCAGUUUCACCU
rnacentral:RNase_P_RNA from 1 species